GUCCAGGGCUUCCACGUCUAUGUCUCCCAAUGUUAAUGCUCGACUUCCAACUUUGAUUUUCUUUUUAGGGUCAAUGACAGGUAUAUCUGGCGGGCAGGGGCAACAGCAACAACAGUGCCCUCCAGGAAAACAAUCGUAGUAAUAGCAACUCUCUAAGGAACAGUCAUAACAGUAGCCAGGCUCAGGGUUUUCUUUAUGGUAAAAUGCCUUCUGUAAUCUCCACCUGUAGGAAAAAAUUCCAAGUAGAACGAGUAACUGUUCUUUUCAUCGUUAGAGAAACGAAAAUAAACUCGGGAAAGGGGGGAGGGUAAAGCACUUUUAUCCUGCAGUUAAUUUGACUAUAGUUUUGCUAAAUCGAUUAUGCUAAACCUGCCGGAAAAGUGCAGGCUAUGUUGUCCGCGCGGGUAUUCUCCUCUUGGAAAAUAUUUAAAUCUAGAGUUUCUGAGGCAGGCUUUGAAGUGCCAUUUUCUGUGUCUUGGACGUCUUACUGCAUAGGGUCAGGAUAAUCAUAAAUAAAACAAAUUUCAAAAUAAAAAUCAUAAAUAAAAAAAACUUCAAAACUAAAUUUAAGUCCCCA